GAUGGACAGCUGGCCUCAAGGGGACACUGCAAAGUGGCUCUAGGAAGAAGCCACUGUCCCUCCAGACCAUAAAAAUGGCUACCAAGGGCAGAGCCAGCAGCUUUUGCUGUAAAGUUUCUCAAGAAAAUCACAGAUGUUCCCCUCUGUGAUGUUCAGCUCAGCCUGGAAAGGAGAGGUGGAAACUGAGAGUUGAAGAGGCUGAAUAAUUUCUCAAGCACACUCCCAACUCGCCCACCCACAAGCAAAAAGGCAGAGCCGGGAUUCAAACACAGGUGUGACUGUGUGUGGACAUCUCCCCUGUGCUAUGCUGCCUGAAGGAAAAUUCUAAGUGGUGUUGUUUCUGGGAGAAAUCCACCUGUGUGGUCUUUAAACCUACUCUGACAGGAGCAAGGGCCACCACUCUGU
rnacentral:antisense_RNA from 1 species